rnacentral:rRNA from 1 species
GAUGAACGCUGGCGGCGUGCUUAACACAUGCAAGUCGAACGAAGCACUUUACUACGAUUUCUUCGGAAUGACGGUUUUGUGACUGAGUGGCGGACGGGUGAGUAACGCGUGGAUAACCUGCCUCAUACAGGGGGAUAACAGCCGGAAACGGCUGCUAAUACCGCAUAAGCGCACGGUACCGCAUGGUACAGUGUGAAAAACUCCGGUGGUAUGGGAUGGAUCCGCGUCUGAUUAGCCAGUUGGCGGGGUAACGGCCCACCAAAGCGACGAUCAGUAGCCGACCUGAGAGGGUGACCGGCCACAUUGGGACUGAGACACGGCCCAAACUCCUACGGGAGGCAGCAGUGGGGAAUAUUGCACAAUGGGCGAAAGCCUGAUGCAGCGACGCCGCGUGGAGGAAGAAGGUUUUCGGAUUGUAAACUCCUGUCGUAAGGGACGAUAAUGACGGUACCUUACAAGAAAGCCACGGCUAACUACGUG